GACGAACGCUGGCGGCGUGCUUAACACAUGCAAGUCGAACGGAAAGGCCCUGCUUUUGUGGGGUGCUCGAGUGGCGAACGGGUGAGUAACACGUGAGUAACCUGCCCUUGACUUUGGGAUAACUUCAGGAAACUGGGGCUAAUACCGGAUAGGAGCUCCUGCUGCAUGGUGGGGGUUGGAAAGUUUCGGCGGUUGGGGAUGGACUCGCGGCUUAUCAGCUUGUUGGUGGGGUAGUGGCUUACCAAGGCUUUGACGGGUAGCCGGCCUGAGAGGGUGACCGGCCACAUUGGGACUGAGAUCCGGCCCAGACUCCUACGGGAGCAGCAGUGGGGAAUAUUGCACAAUGGGCGGAAGCCUGAUGCAGCAACGCCGCGUGUGGGAUGACGGCCUUCGGGUUGUAAACCGCUUUCGCCUGUGACGAAGCGUGAGUGACGGUAAUGGGUAAAGAAGCACCGGCUAACUACGUG
rnacentral:rRNA from 1 species